AUUGAACGCUGGCGGCAUGCCUUACACAUGCAAGUCGAACGGUAACAGGUCUUCGGAUGCUGACGAGUGGCGAACGGGUGAGUAAUACAUCGGAACGUGCCCGAGAGUGGGGGAUAACGGAGCGAAAGCUUUGCUAAUACCGCAUACGAUCUCAGGAUGAAAGCAGGGGACCGCAAGGCCUUGCGCUCACGGAGCGGCCGAUGGCAGAUUAGGUAGUUGGUGGGAUAAAGCUUACCAAGCCGACGAUCUGUAGCUGGUCUGAGAGGACGACCAGCCACACUGGGACUGAGACACGGCCCAGACUCCUACGGGAGGCAGCAGUGGGGAAUUUUGGACAAUGGGCGCAAGCCUGAUCCAGCCAUGCCGCGUGCAGGAUGAAGGCCUUCGGUUGUAAAGCUGCUUUGUACGGAACGAAAUGACCCUUCUAAUAAAAGGGGGUCCAUGACGGUACCGUAAGAAUAAGCACCGGCUAACUACGUGCCAGCAGCCGCGGUAAUACGUAGGGUGCGAGCGUUAAUCGGAAUUACUGGGCGUAAAGCGUGCGCAGGCGGUGAUGUAAGACAGAUGUGAAAAUCCCCCGGGGCUCAACCUGGGAACUGCAUUUGUGACUGCAUCGCUGGAGUGCGGCAGAGGGGGAUGGAAUUCCGCGUGUAGCAGUGAAAUGCGUAGAUAUGCGGAGGAACACCGAUGGCGAAGGCAAUCCCCUGGGCCUGCACUGACGCUCAUGCA
rnacentral:rRNA from 1 species